rnacentral:misc_RNA from 1 species
GAUGAAGAACGUAGCGAAAUGCGAUAGGUAAUGUGAAUUGCAGAAUUCAGUGAAUCAUCGAAUCUUUGAACGCACAUUGCGCCCAUCAGUAUUCUGUUGGGCAUGCCUGUCCGAGCGUCAUUUCAACCCUCAGGGCCCGUUCGCGGGAACUGGUGUUGGGGAUCGGCCUCCCCCCGGAGGCCGGCCCCGAAAUGCAGUGGCGGCUCUACCGCGAUCUCCUCUGUGUAGUAGCGAUACCUCGCAGCUGGAUAGUGGUGGUGCCACGCCGUAAAAUCCCAACUUUACCAAGGUUGACCUCGGAUCAGGUAGGAAUACCCGCUGAACUUAAGCAUAUCAAUAAGCGGAGGA